CCACAGCAGCAGAGCUGAGAGGUUUCGCUUCCGUUAGAUGCCGGAGCGCAACGCGACAAUUCAGCCAACUCCGUAUCGGAGCCGAUCAGUAACGUACAUGCAUCCAUGUGGACUUCUAGAGUUACACUCCUCAGUGCACCAGGAUGGUGGCAGGUGUGUGUGCAGCACGUGUCAACGUAAGAGUUUGAUGAUACCAACUCACCCAUUUGUGGUCGUCCAACAUCCCAGCAGAGCGUCGUGACAAUGUCGGGGGGGGCUUGAAGUCGAAGCGGAGAGAAACUCCACCGCUGUGUUACGAGACCAGCGUUUCUGCAUCUUCAACAACCUCUUUAAAAUCUGAAAAGAGCAACUGAACUUUUGACAGAAUUAUAAAGACGAUUAAAAUUUCUGUAAUGAGAAAUCCAACUAGACCUCUUGUUAUGUUUACUUUAUCUCAAAUGUUCCCAACAAACCCAGAGGAAAAUGGUAAUUCAAGUCAAGGUAUCUGUGGUUUCAUUUAAUCAAGUGUUGCUGUAACUUCUGGGAGAGAGUCAGAGCGAGGAAGUGACUAAACAUGACGUGAAUAAAAGUUUAAAACAU